UACGAAGGGGGCUAGCGUUGUUCGGAAUUACUGGGCGUAAAGCGCACGUAGGCGGAUACUUAAGUCAGGGGUGAAAUCCCGAGGCUCAACCUCGGAACUGCCUUUGAUACUGGGUAUCUCGAGUCCGGAAGAGGUGAGUGGAAUUCCGAGUGUAGAGGUGAAAUUCGUAGAUAUUGGGAAGAACACCAGUGGCGAAGGCGGCUAACUGGUCCAGUACUGACGCUGAGGUGCGAAAGCGUGGGGAGCAAACAGG
rnacentral:rRNA from 1 species